rnacentral:rRNA from 1 species
CCUACGGGUUGCAGCAGUGGGGAAUAUUGCACAAUGGGCGCAAGCCUGAUGCAGCCAUGCCGCGUGUAUGAAGAAGGCCUUCGGGUUGUAAAGUACUUUCAGCGAGGAGGAGGGCGUUAAGGUUAAUAACCUUAGCGAUUGACGUUACUCGCAAAAGAAGCACCGGCUAACUCCGUGCCAGCAGCCGCGGUAAUACGGAGGGUGCAAGCGCUAAUCGGAAUUACUGGGCGUAAAGCGCACGCAUGCGGUCUGUCAAGUCGGAUGUGAAAUCCCCGGGCUCAACCUGGGAACUGCAUUCGAAACUGGCAGGCUAGAGUCUUGUAGAGGGGGGUAGAAUUCCAGGUGUAGCGGUGAAAUGCGUAGAGAUCUGGAGGAAUACCGGUGGCGAAGGCGGCCCCCUGGACAAAGACUGACGCUCAGGUGCGAAAGCGUGGGGAGCAAACAGGAUUAGAUACCCCAGUAGUC